GGGACACGUGGUAUCCUGUCUGAAUAUGGGGGGACCAUCCUCCAAGGCUAAAUACUCCUGACUGACCGAUAGUGAACCAGUACCGUGAGGGAAAGGCGAAAAGAACCCCGGCGAGGGGAGUGAAAAAGAACCUGAAACCGUGUACGUACAAGCAGUGGGAGCACAGGUUUACCUGUGUGACUGCGUACCUUUUGUAUAAUGGGUCAGCGACUUAUAUUCUGUAGCAAGGUUAACCGUAUAGGGGAGCCGGAGGGAAACCGAGUCUUAAUUGGGCGUUAAGUUGCAGGGUAUAGACCCGAAACCCGGUGAUCUAGCCAUGGGCAGGUUGAAGGUUGGGUAACACUAACUGGAGGACCGAACCGACUAAUGUUGAAAAAUUAGCGGAUGACCUGUGGCUGGGGGUGAAAGGCCAAUCAAACCGGGAGAUAGCUGGUUCUCCCCGAAAGCUAUUUAGGUAGCGCCUCGUGAAUUCAUCUCCGGGGGUAGAGCACUGUUUCGGCUAGGGGGCCAUCCCGGCUUACCAACCCGAUGCAAACUGCGAAUACCGGAGAAUGUUAUCACGGGAGACACACGGCGGGUGCUAACGUCCGUCGUGAAGAGGGAAACAACCCAGACCGCCAGCUAAGGUCCCAAAGUCAUGGUUAAGUGGGAAACGAUGUGGGAAGGCCCAGACAGCCAGGAUGUUGGCUUAGAAGCAGCCAUCAUUUAAAGAAAGCGUAAUAGCUCACUGGUCGAGUCGGCCUGCGCGGAAGAUGUAACGGGGCUAAACCAUGCACCGAAGCUGCGGCAGCGAACGUAUCACCCAAGACAACUUUGCGGAGUUGACGAUUGACGGAGCGAAGCGACGUCAAAGCGUUCAUUAAAGUCGAGUUGGCUUAGGGAUACGUUCGUUGGGUAGGGGAGCGUUCUGUAAGCCAGUGAAGGUGUGUCGUGAGGC
rnacentral:rRNA from 1 species